UGAAAGAAAGCAGAGAACAAACACCACCAGCUCCCCUCACUGUCAUCAGCACUGAAGUACUUUGCUGAAGCAAAAUGUUAAGAAGCUGGGACUGGACAUUUAAAGAGUUUAAAGUUACUGAAUUUUCUGCCCAACCUGGUGUGGGAAAAGAUGCAGAAGAUAAUGCUGGUGUCUUACAUGUUCUCAAGAGCUCAAUAAGAGAUGGGAAAACUCCAGAAAUACAAAUCUAAAAUGGGUGGAGAGAUUCAGUGCCCAGCUCUGCACUACUGCCUUGGAGAUGCCUCCUUUUGGCUCUUGUGCCUUGUUCCAUGGGGAGCCUCUCAGCAGAGUGCGUUU